AGUGACGAUAGCCUAGGAGAUACACCUGUUCCCCAUGCCGAACACAGAAGUUAAGCCCUAGUACGCCUGAUGUAGUUGGGGGUUGACCCCUGUUAGAUACGGUAGUCGCUUAGC
rnacentral:rRNA from 1 species